ACGGCUCAGUAACACGUCGAUAAUCUUACUUUAGGUUAGGGAUAGCCUCGGGAAACUGAGAGUAAAACCUGAUAGGAAGAUACUUCUGGAAAGAUGUUCUUCCCAAACUACGGGCCUAAAGAUGAGUCGGCGGCGGAUUAGGCUGUUGGCGGGGUAACGGCCCACCAAACCGAAGAUCCGUACGGGCCUUGAGAGAGGUAACCCGGAGAAGGACACUGAGAUACUGGUCCUAGCCCUACGGGGUGCAGCAGGCGCGAAACCUCUGCAAUGCACGAAAGUGUGACAGGGGAAUCCUAAGUGCUUAUACAAUGUAUAGGCUUUUGCCAAGUGUAAGUAGCUUGGCGAAUAAGUGGUGGGUAAGACUGGUGCCAGCCGCCGCGGUAACCCCAGCGCCACAAGUGGGAGCCACAUUUAUUGGGUCUAAAGCGUUCGUAGCAGGUUCUGUAAAUCUUUUGUGAAAUUGUCAAGCUUAACUUGACAGAUUGCAGAAGACACUGCAAAACUAGGGACCGGGAGGAGUUGGGAGUAUUCAAUGGGGAGCGGUAAAAUGCUAUAAUCCAUUGAAGACUACCUGUGGCGAAGGCGCCCAACCAGAACGGAUCCGACUGUGAGGAACGAAAGCUAGGGGAGCAAUCCGGAUUAGAUACCCGAGUAGUCCUAGCUGUAAACGCUGCGUGCUAGGUGUCACGUAUUCUAUAGGAAUGCGUGGUGUCAAAGCGAAGGCGAUAAGCACGCCACCUGGGAAGUACGGUCGCAAGGCUGAAACUUAAAGGAAUUGGCGGGGGAGCAC
rnacentral:rRNA from 1 species